CCUACGGGCGACAGCAGUAGGGAAUUUUCGUCAAUGGGCGCAAGCCUGAACGAGCAAUGCCGCGUGAACGAGGAAGGUCUUCGGAUCGUAAAGUUCUGUUGAAGGGGAAAAAGAGCGGAGAGAGGAAAUGCUUUCUGAUUGAUAUUACCCUUCGAGGAAGUCACGGCUAACUACGUGCCAGCAGCCGCGGUAAUACGUAGGUGGCGAGCGUUAUCCGGAAUGAUUGGGCGUAAAGGGUGCGUAGGCGGCCUGCUAAGUCUGGAGUGAAAGGUACCGGCUCAACCGGUACAGGCUCUGGAAACUGGCGGGCUAGAGAGCAGGAGAGGGCGGUGGAACUCCAUGUGUAGCGGUAAAAUGCGUAGAUAUAUGGAAGAACACCAGUGGCGAAGGCAGCAUACCGGUGCACAACUGACGCUCAGGCACGAAAGCGUGGGUAUCGAACAGGAUUAGAUACCCGGGUAGUC
rnacentral:rRNA from 1 species